GAUCCUGGCUCAGGAUGAACGCUAGCUACAGGCUUAACACAUGCAAGUCGAGGGGGCAGCAUGGUCUUAGCUUGCUAAGGCUGAUGGCGACCGGCGCACGGGUGAGUAACGCGUAUCCAACCUGCCCACCACUUGGGGAUAACCUUGCGAAAGUAAGACUAAUACCCAAUGAUAUCCCACGAAGGCAUCCGAAUGGGAUUAAAGAUUUAUCGGUGAUGGAUGGGGAUGCGU
rnacentral:rRNA from 1 species